rnacentral:rRNA from 1 species
ACCGGCAGCUCAAGUGGUGGCCAUUUUUAUUGGGCCUAAAGCGUUCGUAGCCGGUUUGAUAAGUCUCUGGUGAAAUCCCGCAGCUUAACUGUGGGACUUGCUGGAGAUACUAUUAGACUUGAGGUCGGGAGAGGUUAGGGGUACUCCCAGAGGAGGGGUGAAAGGAUAUAACCGGGGGGGGAACACCUGAGGCGGAGGCGCCUAACCGGAUCGGACCUGACGGUGAUUAACGUGAUCGAGUGGGGUGUACCG